AGAGAACGCUGGCGGUAGGCCUAACACAUGCAAGUCGAACGGCAGCACAGUAAGAGCUUGCUCUUACGGGUGGCGAGUGGCGGACGGGUGAGGAAUACAUCGGAAUCUACUUUUUCGUGGGGGAUAACGUAGGGAAACUUACGCUAAUACCGCAUACGACCUACGGGUGAAAGCAGGGGAUCUUCGGACCUUGCGCGAUUGAAUGAGCCGAUGUCGGAUUAGCUAGUUGGCGGGGUAAAGGCCCACCAAGGCGACGAUCCGUAGCUGGUCUGAGAGGAUGAUCAGCCACACUGGAACUGAGACACGGUCCAGACUCCUACGGGAGGCAGCAGUGGGGAAUAUUGGACAAUGGGCGCAAGCCUGAUCCAGCCAUACCGCGUGGGUGAAGAAGGCCUUCGGAUUGUAAAGCCCUUUUGUUGGGAAAGAAAAGCAGCAGGUUAAUACCCCGCUGUUCUGACGGUACCCAAAGAAUAAGCACCGGCUAACUUCGUG
rnacentral:rRNA from 1 species